rnacentral:rRNA from 1 species
UACGAAGGGGGCUAGCGUUGUUCGGAAUCACUGGGCGUAAAGGGCGCGUAGGCGGCUUUAUAAGUCGGGGGUGAAAGCCUGUGGCUCAACCACAGAAUUGCCUUCGAUACUGUAGAGCUUGAGACCGGAAGAGGUAAGUGGAACUGCGAGUGUAGAGGUGAAAUUCGUAGAUAUUCGCAAGAACACCAGUGGCGAAGGCGGCUCACUGGCCCGAGUACUGACGCUGAGGCAC